UACGGAGGGGACUAGCGUUGUUCGGAAUUACUGGGCGUAAAGCGCACGUAGGCGGAUUUGUAAGUCAGGGGUGAAAUCCCGGGGCUCAACCUCGGAACUGCCUUUGAUACUGCAAAUCUCGAGUCCGGAAGAGGUGAGUGGAAUUCCUAGUGUAGAGGUGAAAUUCGUAGAUAUUAGGAAGAACACCAGUGGCGAAGGCGGCUCACUGGCUCGUAACUGACGCUCAUGCACGACAGCGUGGGGAUCAAACAGG
rnacentral:rRNA from 1 species